GUUCAUAUACAGUCAUUGGUACAGUCUGUAAGCUGAUUCUAGACCAGCGCAAAUCACAUCACUUCGCUACUUUCCCGCUCCUGUUGUUUACAAGAGGGGAUCUCUGGGAAGUGGUGCUCAUGGCAACCAGCAUAAACACUUUUCAGUAGCUAAGUUUUCGCUGCUUGUACAAAACGGGGCGCAAAGGGCAAGGAACGUUGUUGUCAUGGCGUUCUGUGAGGACCAAUACUAUGAAAGAAUUGGAUCCAUUCAACAAAGCAUGCACGAAAGGGAAAAGAGGAGACUUGAGUUGGAGAGGGAGUUGUUUGCUUACUGCAGAUCUGACAAGAGAGGUCUUCAGAUAAAGUGUGCCACACUCCGUGGUUAUCUCAAGGAAAUCUGUGAGAGAGAGAAACAGGCAAAAAUUCGAAACCUGGAGCUCCUGAGAGAUGUGGAGCGCAUUGAAAUGAGCAUGAAGGAGCACUGUCCUGACCGUAACCCUCUGGAUGAACACAAGGUUGAAUGCUUGAAUAGAAUUUCCAGAUUUAUGGCAGCAAAGCAGAAGAAAGAAGAGCCAAAUCUUAAAAUAGACACGGGAGAUUUGUUGAAUUGCCAUCCUCAGGGUGAGUCCCCCUCACCACAGGCCAGGGGUUUACGCCAACCAUCUGUCAUCUUCAUGGGUCGCCAGACCUCCAGAAGUUCCGCGGCUGAAGAUGCCACCGCAAGUAUACACUUACGACAAGCGGAGCGUCAUUCACCAAAUCAGCCAUCACAUGCCUCGGAAUGCCUGCAAAGUGGCCUUUCGAAUGACUCCAAAGUUUCCAGAGAGGUCGUUGCCGACAGCGGAGCGUCUUUAUCAGUUGACAUUUCAGGCUCAAACGAUUCCCCCGACGGCUGUAAUUUGUGUGACAAACAUGAAAGGACGGCGGCAGUGGUUCCAUCUGUUCGUACCUUAACAGCCAGCGCCGGCGUGCCUUUUGGAGGUGAUGAACAACUGACUUCACCUCGGGUGACCUUGACGAGGCCUGAGAAGAAUAGCCCAUCGCCCAGCACUAUCAGCCAUAUGUGGGACAGGAAUUCACCUGCAGAAUACACUCGGGGUAGAGGGUCUGGUCAUCAGGAGAGCAUAAAAGAAGAUGUGGAGAGAGUUCUGCUAAGAUCACUGCCUCAAACUGACUUGGGAAAAGAAUCUCAAGAUGUGCCAGAGAAGAGUGAAACCCUUAGUAGAUCCAGUUCCAGUAUGGAGCUGUCAGUGACCAGCAUUGGUAGUGACCUGUCCACCUCCCUGACUGAGUCUGACCUGGCUGAGCUACCAAAGGUGCCAGAGGGUGUAGUCCAUGUAGCCAGCCACACCAGGAGGACAGCCAGCCACACCAGGAGGACAGCCAGCCACACCAGGAGGACAGACAACCACACCAGGAGGACAGACAGCCCACCACAGAGGAGUGCUAUUCCACCCAGCGAGAGGGAGCUCCGCAGCGCCAGUGUUCACAGUCAAUCACUGGACACUCCAAAGCCUAGGAACAGACCAGAAUCACGUAGCGAAUCCACGUCUCCAGAAAUCCCAUUGAAAAGACUGUCCAUGGAGGGAUUCUUCCAUCUACUGGAGAGCAUCGAAGAACGAUUCCACAGAGGAGAACGAAGUGUGUACUGUGUCUCGUCACUUGGCGAUAGCAAACGCAAUAAAGUGAUCAGCCUUUGUAACGCCAGGGCAGGCUUGAAUGGAGAGGACCUUGAUGCAUGUGGAGCAGUCGUCCUUCACCAGCUUCAGAGGUUGUCAUGGACCAUGUCAAUGGGUUGCCUGUUACCCGAAGAGCUAGUUAGCUCCAACUGGUCCACCACCGAGCCCAGGAAAAUAAGCUCCCGUCUCCCCCCUGAUGCUGCUCCUCUGUGGGAUCGCUGGUUCAAGCACGCCCUUCUGCUGAAGGACUACCAUGUCCUCACCCCCGAGCGCCUCGUCCAGCUGUUCACUCCACUGCUGCUGCCAUACAACGCCUCCUAUAGUGCCAAGGCCAAAGUGCUGCUGAGGACACUUCUGUCCCGGUCCAGUGAGGAGUGCCCCUCGUUGGAGAGUGAGUCUUCAUCUUGUGGCCUUCCCUCGUUCCUCAACAACAGCGUUGCGGAGGUCCAACCAGCCAGACCUUCUCAGGAGCACGGCGCCUCAGGGAUGCAAGGACUACAAAGUGGUGAAGAGGACAGCCAAGACGAGAACCCCGUGGAAAGUAUUCCUAUUAAAGAGACAAAAGCAUAUCAGCUGCUUAAACAGUCUGCCACGCAGGCGAGGCAGCAGAGCUCUGGAGACGAGGAGGAUCUGUCAGGAAUAAAUGAUGGCUAUGAAGAGAACACUGGGAGGGUUGAGCGCUCCUCUCAUCAAGACCCUUACCCUUGGUAAGGACAUUGUUCUUCUUCACACCCUUUAUGGAAAUAGGCCACCAGACACCAAAGGAGAGAAACGACAAAAAUGAAAACCUACUCUGCUGUACAGUCUAAAGCUUUUUGGGGAGAGUCAGACGACAGCAACUCCGAGAUAGAAGCAGCUCUGCGCCCUCAAUACAAUACGAACAAUGACAACUCUGAGGAUUUUUAGGACUGACUACCUGAGAAGAGGGAUUCUUAACACAAGCUGCUGAGAGAAAGCGCUUUAGAGAACAUCUGCAUACUGUUUAUUUUUCUUCCAUUUGUUACCCGACUAAAUUCUAUCUACGUUGUAAACUGUAUGCAUACUGUAUCAUAAAAAAAGGUAUAAUGAUAAACCUGAUACCUCUUACUAUGGUUAAAGUAUGUGAAGAGUUUUCAAACACACGAUGUUAACCCUGCUUCAGUCUCUUUAUCUGAAUGACUCUUACAACUCAUAAUAACAGCUUGAAAUAGAUUAAACGGGUCUUUUGAAGCGAUUUGUUUGCACUAGGCUGGAAAUCAUGCAUUUUGAAUGCUGCUAGCAUCUCCGAGUGGUCUGCAUCUAGCAUGCUUGAGUGUAGUGACGUGAGUCACCUGUGAAAUGACAAAGAACAAUGGCCACUCUGGAUGUUACCAAACGACCUGCGGACCUGUUGAAGUGGCCCAUCGCCCAGGACAAGAUGUACCGUCGUGUUAACAGAUCCACAAUGAUCACAAUGUAUGUUUUUGAAACAAGUUGUACUUAUAUACAAUGAUUAUAUCAGACCUGUAUUCUUUUUCCUUUUUCAUUUCCCAUGGGCCUUUUCAUUUGCUAUGACAUUUCAAACUCACUCAUUUUUUAUUGCUCAGAAGAAGUACAAUCAUGUUUUCGUGUUCUAUUUUUGUAUAAUGCUUUGUGAUCAAAUUAUGUGUCGAGUAGACAUACAGUACUCAAAAGACAUAAUAAUUAAUUUUGUGGAAAAAAACAUGCAGUUUGUUAAACCCAUCAACCUCCCUCCUCCCAUCCACCCUUUUCCUUUUCACCCUUCAAGUGGCAGUGCAUGUCAAUGACAGUGACUAUUCAUUACACUAGUUAAAAUGCCUUGGAAAUAAAUUCACCUGAACCAUGCAGCAUC